rnacentral:rRNA from 1 species
UGAGGAAUUUUGCGCAAUGGGAGCAAUCCUGACGCAGCCACGCCGCGUGGGUGAUGAAGGCCUUCGGGUCGUAAAGCCCUGUCAGGUGGGAAGAAUGUCCUGGGACUGAACAGGUUCCGGGAGUGACGGUACCACCAGAGGAAGCACCGGCUACCUCCGUGCCAGCAGCCGCGGUAAUACGGAGGGUGCAAGCGUUAUUCGGAAUUACUGGGCGUAAAGCGCGUGAAGGCGGUCCUGCAAGUCAGAUGUGAAAGCCCCGGGCUUAACCCGGGAAGUGCAUUGGAAACUGUGGGACUUGAGUACUGGAGAGGAUGGUGGAAUUCCCGGUGUAGAGGUGAAAUUCGUAGAGAUCGGGAGGAAUAUCAGUGGCGAAGGCGCCCAUCUGGACGGUAACUGACGCUGAGACGCGAAAGCGUGGGGAGCAAACA